UACGUAGGGUGCAAGCGUUGUCCGGAAUCAUUGGGCGUAAAGCGCGUGUAGGCGGCUCGGUAAGUCUGCUCUGAAAGUCCAAGGCUCAACCUUGGGAUGCGGGUGGAUACUGCCGGGCUCGAGUCCGGAAGAGGCGAGUGGAAUUCCGUGGUGUAGCGGUGAAAUGCGUAGAUAUCAAGAGGAACACCUGCGGCGAAGGCGGGUUGCUGGGCCGACACUGACGCUGAGGCGCGAAAGCGUGGGGAGCAAACGGG
rnacentral:rRNA from 1 species